GCCAACAUUUAAGAGAGAGUUUAUUAUUCCAAAGUGUUAGCUCCAACUUUAUUGAUGAAGAAACAUAUUGAGGGAAUUUAAGGGACUUGCCCAAGGUCAAAAAUAAUUAAAGACUGAGUCUGAGACUUAAACCUAAUUUUAUAAUACAUCAUAAUCCUUCUUAAUUAUAUCAUCUCCACUUUAUCUUUUAAAAAGUACAGAGGAAAUAAAAAGCUCUGCCAAAGAUUACUCAACUAUUAAGCACGGACCAGGUAUUUGAAUCCCAACUCUGUCAGAAUGGAGAAUGAGAUUCUUUUCUAGGCUUAGGAAUCUGAAAACCUGGGUUUCUAUAAAGAGAUCAUUCUCUGACCCUUGAGAUAUAAAAAAUAUCUGGGAGUUCCUGUUGUAGUGCAGCAGAAAUGAAUCCAACUAGAAACCAUGAGGUUGCGGGUUCGAUCCCUGACCUCGUGAGCUGUGGUGUAGGUCGCAGACACGGCUCGGAUUGGCGUUGCUGUGGCUGUGGCAUAGGCUGGUGGCUGUAGAUCCGAUUAGACCCCUAGCCUGGGAGCCUCCAUAUGCCGUGGGUGCAGCCCUAAAAGAAAAGACAAAUGACAAAAAUAUCUGAAAAUAUCUGAAAAAAUCAGAGUUCCUCCAAACUACUGAAAAUUUUGUUAGUGAAUGGAAAAUAAUCUAAUGUUUCCCUCACUGCCUGUUCUUAUUUUCUGAUUUUUUUAAGAGCUGAAGAAUAUCCUAUAGGCUUUCAUAAUUAAUUUGAAGUGGAGCAGACAAGUUCACGCAAUAAUAGUAGAAAAUGCAUAAAUAAAUUAUAGGUCAGGCUAGACGUUUCCUGCAUGAUAAAGGUAUCAUGAAAGCAAAGUAGUACCGGUACAUGAACAGACAGGCAGGACAAGGGGUGGAAUACAAAGCCCAGAAUCAAACAAAAUAUAUGUCAGAAUUUGGCAUUUGAAAAAAAUGAAACUACAAUUCAGGAGAUAAAAUGCAAUUACUCAAUGAAUGGUGUUAGGAAAAACAGUGGUGAUUUGGAGGGGAGUAUCUCAACCCUUAUACUUACAGAAAUUGCUGAGGAUUCAAGGACUGUUUUUUUUGUCCUGUGGCCUCACCCACGGCAUGUGUGGGUCAAGGAUCGAACUCGCGCCACCCAAGCCACUGCAGUGACAACACAGGAUACUUAACUUGAUGAGCCACAUGGGAAUGUCAAGACUUAAUUUUUAAAUCAUGCACUUAGUAGAAAAAAUAUACAUAUAAAAUCUCAACAUACAGAAGGCAUAAGUAUGGCAUAAAACCCACACUCUCUGGAAGUGUGAUAAACUGAACACAAAAACAUGUCUGCAUGGAAAAAAAUAUAAACAUUGCAAAAACAAAAAUAUAAACUGAAAACAAGUACAGUUAAGCUCAGAAACAAAGGGGAAAAGGCCCUUCAAUGGAACAUACAGGCAAACGAUGUGAAAUUCCUGAUUUUCAGAGAAGAAAAAUGUAAAUAGGUCUUAAAACAUCGACUGACAUAUCAAAAGAGAAAAGCUAUUAAAAGUAUAGUGUCAUAUUUUCCAGCUAUGAGAUGAUGGGGAAAACAUACUUGGCAGACACACUAUGUUGGAGAGGCAAUAGCUUAAUCAACAUUUUAUAUAUUGCUGUAGGAAUGGAAAUGAAUAAACCUCUAAGAAUGGCAGGUUGCUCCUCCACUUUUCAAUCCACCGUCGCUUUAUACUUUCUCUUCCCUUUUUGGGGGGGCUGCUCUGUGCCCUCGGGGCUUUAUCUCUGCAGACCACAUGGCCUAGAUCCCUUUGUCAAUUGGCUUCUGUCAAUGGGAGGUGCCAGAAACAUCUGAGCGUCUCACUCUCCUCCUUAAGGUUGCACCUGCGGAGCAGCAAUGGACACGGAUACACAUCAGCAAAGCUAAACUUUCAAGCGAAGGACAGUCUGGGGAGGGUUGAUUUGAAGACGGGUCCCAGCUCCUCCCACCUUGAGCAAUUCAGCUUUCACCCCAAACCUGCAAACUCCAUCCAGCCGAACAAAGGGCCUUUGAGAAGAAGCCCAUUCAGCCUUCUCUGUGGACAGCGUCCUGGCCACCUAUCGUUCUUCCGAAACACCUUUCAGUUCAGCGGCUUUCCAGAAGGUUUUCCAAUCUCAGGGAGGUAUUCUCACUGCCUGAAGGCCUUUGGUUUGGUUUGGUUUUGAACACGCUAUUGAACCAAGGUUUCAAAAGCCCAGUGAUGCUCACAGUCAAGGCCAGGCUGUCACACACGUACGUGUGCUAAGCCGUCUCUGUAGGCAUCACCGACUUCCCAGAAGGUCUCCAUAACUCUGCCUGGGGAGGCCCCUGAAGAGGGGACCACCCAACUGGUUCUCAAAGAUGUCGGAAUGUGCCAGGGGCAGGAGGAGGAGAAAUGGCUUUUGAAGAGGAGAAACUUGUGUGUGCUGCGUGAGGCCAGGGGGGUUGGGGAGGGGGGCGGGAGCAGAAUAUGUUCAGAGGUGGUGAUGAAUUCUGUGCCGUCAUAACUCAGAGUGGGAUGCAGAGCAGACAGAAGAGGUAAGUUUAGAUGAGCAAGGAAGAUGCUCCUGGGAAAGGCCUGGUAAACCCUCUCCAAUACGUUUAACAGAAUGGGAUUACUUGGAGACGCUCUGUAGAAAGCGUUCUUUGCUAAACGUUGGGGAAGCCGAGCAUCUCCAAGAUGUGUGACGCACGGUUACACAUUAAAAGCUCCGAAAAGCCUCAACAAUAAGACAUCUUAAGCUUUAUUUAAUCCGGAACUUCCAAGUUUUGCAUUCAGGAUUCAAGCCAGAAAGUCAACAUUGGCAGAGCACACGGGUGAGAGCAGACCCUCUCCAGCACCAAGGAGCCACAGGCAGAGCCCUAAAGAAAAUGUUUGGUAUCAACAUGAGCAAAGAAGAGUAAUUUUCUCAAAAGAGGAACAGGGGUCGUGAGAGCUGUGACAUCAGAAAAUGAACCUGACUGCCUAUUUCUUCUUUCCUGGAACUAAUAUCCAAGAGAGGAUCCAAAGAACCUGGAAAAAGAAGUGAAAAUUCGAUUAUAAUGGAAUAUAUUCUCUGUGUUUCUCAGUGAGGAGGUUUGAUAUUUAUCAUAUGUAAUUAUGGUUUGUUAUGUAAAAAUUGAGCUUAAGAUAAUGACAUAGUAAACAGCUUAUUGAUUUCCAUUUGAGAUGUUUCUUCUGUUUGCUUUAAUUUUCUCCCCAGGGGGUGGCGGGGGGGGGGGGGGGGGGGGGGGGGGAACAAGCACAAUCACUUGAGGACCCAGAGAUUGAAGGAGAGGUCUUCUUUCUUUUGUUUUUCUUUCCUGUUCUCCUCCUGCAAGUCCCUCCAACACAAGCCAUCUGUCCUUCUUCCCUUGAGUUAAAAGCAACCUACGUCAGAUCGAAACGGGGAAGAAGAUAAAUCACCACCCCUCUGCCGAACACAGAAAGCUAAAAGGGAGAAAAGAAAUUGCAUUUGCUUUUGCACUCAAUAUAUCAAAGUAAUUUAUGUCAUAACCACUCUGGCUGCUCUCAUACAUAUUCGGUUUUAAAUAAAAUCAAUCUUUCCAAACCUGUAAUAGCUUUCUUUAUAAGGCUCUUAGAAAAAAAAAAAAAGGUGCUGGAAUCUGGUUCCAUUAGAGGCAAGGCUGGUUUAUUGCCUCACAAAAUCACUCGUUCUAAUGAGGUGCAAGGUUAAGAGACAUCCCUCAAACACAUUAAACAGUUAAUGACCCGCAAGGAGCUGGGAAUUAGGUGGUUGAGUGUACAUCCAAUCCAGGCAGGGAAGGGUUAAUUGUGUACCUUUUCAGACCCCUGCCAGCUCUGGGAGGAGGGACCAACUGCUGGGACCAAGAAGGAUUCCAGCACACCCAGCACCCAGAGGAUACCCCAGGCACCGGGUGUGUGGACCAGACAGUGCCUACUGGACAUUUCCUACCUGGGCAAGGAAGGCAGCCACUGCUUGCAAGCACUUGCUGUAGGAUGAAAAGCAUCCUACAGGGACUGGUGUGAGAGGGGCACGGCUCUGUACUCCUAAGUACCCUGUGACGGCUGUGCUCUAAUUUCCCCCCAGUUCGCAGAAGAGGAAACUGAGACAUAAAGAGGUUAAGGAGUGGCCCAAGGUCAUCGCACAGCAAGUAAACAGCAGAACUGGAACCAAGCCUGUCUGAUUCUGGGUAAUCAGAGUUUAACUAUGCCACCCCCUGGGCUCCUGUCUUAUCCAUCAGAUGCUGUAUAUAUACAACGCCUUUUUUGAUGCUACACCCCUUUUUUUAUGAUGGGGAAACCGAGGCUCAGGGGUUGAAGUGCUUUGCCCCAGCCCUGUCUCCCUGAUUUAAAGCCCAUGGGCUUUUUUUUUUUUUUUUUUUCCUCUUCUUCCCUUUUUUCUUUGUAGGGCUGCACUUGCAGCAUAUGGAAGCUCCUGGGCUAGAGGUCGAAUUGGAGUUACAGCUGCUGGCCACAGCCACAGCCACAACAAUGCUGGAUCUGAGCCACAUCUGUGAUCUUUGCUGAAGCUUGUAGCAAUGACAGAU
rnacentral:lncRNA from 1 species